ACUCAGUAACAUAUUUUUUUCUUUUCUCAUAAAGUCACCAAUAAGAUAUCACUUUUGACAUGAAUUCUCUCUGCUCUCGUUUUCGAACCACACAACAAAAUGCCUCCUCUCUAAACUUUCAGAAAACCUUCUUCACACUCCUUAUCACCAAAUGCAGACAGUAAAAAAUCCACACUUUUUUCCAUCACCAACAGGCCUUUCCUUCGACCCUUAACCCUUUCUGCAAAAAC
rnacentral:lncRNA from 1 species